UGGGGGGGAUUCUCAGAACACAUUUAUAUUUUUGCUUAGUCAGUCUUAAACCUGUUUGUCUUCAUGUGUCAGAAAGACGUCAAGAGGUGGACAUCACUCUGUGGAACAAAGCCUCAAACUCUGCACGUGACAUUAAGGGGACCCUCCCAGCCCAACAAACAGCAACUGUUGUAGAAUGCAUUUAAAGUGAAGGAAGUGUUUAUUCAAGCAAAAUUGAAGAAUGAGGAGGCGUCAAACCUCUCCAGGCUUCCAACUGCACACCUCAAGCCUUGUAAUAUAUUCACAUACUCGA